rnacentral:misc_RNA from 1 species
CUUUUUUUUUUCUUUUUUUUUUUGGGUCCAACCUAAAAUUGAACGAGUCCUUGAUUGGAUAAGCUGUUUGGCAGUUAGUUGACGUCAGACCACUUCUGGGUUAUUGAAUUCCAAAUAAUCAACCUUUAUGCUGUAUCUUUUUAACACAAAUGUUGGCAUUUCAACAGUUUGAAGUAGUGUGCCCAAAUGUAUGCAUGGAAGACAAGAUUGGAUUAUCUUCUGUGUUAGCUGUACACAUCUUCUAGGAAGUUCUGCACUAAACAUUUACUGCAACUUUUCUGAAGCAGAUUGUUCUUGCAAGGGAUAUGAAAUACUUAAGUAGUGUUUAUUAAGUGGUCAAUUACUGGUCAAACUCUCCAUUCUUGUAUGGUGGCAUAUUAGUAAUAUAACAUUUUAGGGAAUUGCAUAUAUGUUAAGCUUCGAAUAACUGAAUAUAUAUCUUUUUUUUUUUAUGGUGUUUUUUGUGUAUCCUAGUAAGCUAUGAUUCCUAAUCUUAUUAAUAAAUUUACUUAUUGUGAAAACUUUGGUUUAAGUUUGUUGUGCUAGAACUGAAUGUUUAGUUCCUCUUCUUUUUACUGCCUUUUCUUGAUCUGUAAACCUGCUUCCAAAGUGUCUUGGUUUAAGUUUGUUGUGAAAACUUUUGGUGUGAUUGUUUGUUGUGUUAGAAUUAAAUGGUUGUGAUAGUUCCUCUUCUUUUUGCUUCCGUUUCUUGAUCUCUAAACAUGCUGCUGAAGUGUCUUAUUAUUAUUCACUGCAUCAGGCCUUUAAUUUUCCAAAGCCAAAAUUCCAGUCAAUGAACAAACCAAGAGAACCCUAGUACCCCUUGCAUCUAUCCAAAAAUUGCCUAUCAAUUAAUUACCCAUAGGUUUCGUGCAGCCAGAGAUGACCUCAAGUGGAAUCUGAGAUUCUAGAACUAACCAUUUGUCUUGCCUCAAAUAUCAAUCACUUCAACACCAAUUCAGCCUCAAGUUCUGGCCCUUGUUAUUUACUUUUCUUUUUUCCAUUUAUAAAGCUCUAACUAACCAUAAACAUACCAGGAUCUGUUAUCCAAAACUGGAGUAUGUCACUAGGUGCUUAGUUAGUAACCUUUUUUCCCCUACAAGGUUUGACGCAACUAAUAUUUUCUGUGCAUUUCAUCUUCUUUUUAUUCAGUCAUAUAACUCAUAAUAGUUUGCUUCUGUUAUCUCUGCCGAUAUAUUGGCUUAUUUGUUGAUGUUUACUAAUAUGACUACCAUUCGCUCCAUUUAAAUUUUGAUCUUCCCAAUUUUUUGAGCUUGUUAUGGCUUUGCUUCCAUGGUUAAAUCCUCCCCACUGAACUACAAACUCCCUCAUUCUCCUCGCAUCCCAGUCUGAAAUGUCUCUGUAUUCAUCU